UACGUAGGGCGCAAGCGUUGUCCGGAAUUAUUGGGCGUAAAGAGCUCGUAGGCGGCUUGUCACGUCGGGUGUGAAAGCCCGGGGCUUAACCCCGGGUCUGCAUUCGAUACGGGCUAGCUAGAGUGUGGUAGGGGAGAUCGGAAUUCCUGGUGUAGCGGUGAAAUGCGCAGAUAUCAGGAGGAACACCGGUGGCGAAGGCGGAUCUCUGGGCCAUAACUGACGCUGAGGAGCGAAAGCAUGGGGAGCGAACGGG
rnacentral:rRNA from 1 species